CCUCGCUGGAUCUCCCCGCCGCCUCGCCGGAUCUCCCCGCUUCCCCAUACAUCGCCCUCACCGCACCGGCGCGCUCCUCACUUCCCCGAGCAGGCGACCCAGGCUGCCUCUGCCAUUGGAACCACCACCUCAUCCUUAUGCGAGCCGUCGUCGGAGCCAUGACUGUGGGCCGACUUUUGCCGCCGUUGCCGCCGCUGGGAUCAUCCUACUUGUCCCUCCACGCGCCACCAAUACAAGCUGCGGAACCGCUGCCGGCACAGCCCUCAGCCGCAUGAAGGAAUUGUCGCCACCUCUUACAGUUGAUGGCAAGUUGACGACAUGUUGAUUUUCCGUCGUACUGAACUUGAUGGACAAGUUCUUAUGUCAACCACAACGAGCGAGAGCAAUUUAUAGGGCACCAGAUUUGCACAGCAAGAUCUAACAUCGACAGGGUGGAUGCAUGCACCUUCACCGCCUGCAGAGGAAAUGGAAAGAGAGGUGGAGCUGGUGCAGGCUUUCCAGGCCGUGGAGGCGGCCGCGCAGAGGUUCUUCGUCACGUACCAACAGGUCGUGGCGGUGGUGUGUGCCACGAUGGAGGCGUCGGGCAAACGGGCGCUGUUCGUGCCAGCGUGCUCCACAUUCUGGUUUGACAUGUAUGUUAUUUUUCUCAAUGAGAACGGUGUUAAAUUAGAUUACUCAGAAUCCCGGUUUUGGCCAUGUAUGUGCAUUUUAAACGUUUGUUUAUAUAUGAACCAAAAACUGAGGUGAGUUGUGAUUUCCGAAUCUGGUGAGGGAAUUAGAAAAACUUAAGAUGAAGUAGGAGAGGGUCUUGAAGUAUACUGCCAUCAACCUGAUCGAUAUGUUCCUCCUUGCAUUUGCUCCAUUACAUGAACUGAAAAUCCAGCAAUGUUGUAAAAGAGAUAAAUAGUGAACUUAUGGGUUUUCAUUUGUAGAUGCUUUUGACUGCUAUAAGUUUCAUAAAAUAUUUUGUCCAUCAAACUCUAUGUUUCUUAUACAUGAAAAAAGAUAUGCAACUGUAGGAAGAAAGAGUACAGUGAUUGCUGGAGAGUGGAGACAGUGGAAGAGGGUGGGAACCACAUGAUCAUUGCAGCGCUUUGCUACUUACCAUUGUCAUGUCGAGGGUGCUCCCGGGUGAUUGGCAAUGCAUGCCAGUUACCAUUUGUUGGUUAGGUAUUUUUACAAAUUGUAAUAGAAAUGGUAUGAGUUC